AUUCUUUUAGUAUUAUCCAGUACAAUUGACUUCCAAUCAAUUAGCUUCGGUAUAAAGCCCGAAAAAGAAUA
rnacentral:tRNA from 1 species